rnacentral:rRNA from 1 species
UAGGGAAUCUUCGGCAAUGGACGAAAGUCUGACCGAGCAACGCCGCGUGAGUGAAGAAGGUUUUCGGAUCGUAAAACUCUGUUGUUAGAGAAGAACAAGGACGUUAGUAACUGAACGUCCCCUGACGGUAUCUAACCAGAAAGCCACGGCUAACUACGUGCCAGCAGCCGCGGUAAUACGUAGGUGGCAAGCGUUGUCCGGAUUUAUUGGACGUAAAGCGAGCGCAGGCGGUUUCUUAAGUCUGAUGUGAAAGCCCCCGGCUCAACCGGGGAGGGUCAUUGGAAACUGGGAGACUUGAGUGCAGAAGAGGAGAGUGGAAUUCCAUGUGUAGCGGUGAAAUGCGUAGAUAUAUGGGGGAACACCAGUGGCGAAGGCGGCUCUCUGGUCUGUAACUGACGCUGAGGCUCGAAAGCGUGGGGAGCAAACAGG